rnacentral:rRNA from 1 species
UACGUAGGAUGCAAGCGUUGUCCGGAAUUAUUGGGCGUAAAGAGCGCGCAGGCGGUUUUACAAGUCAGAUGUGAAAUAUCCGGGCUUAACCCGGAGGGGUCAUUUGAAACUGUAAGACUAGAGUACAGCAGAGGAUAGCGGAAUUCCCGGUGUAGUGGUGAAAUGCGUAGAUAUCGGGAGGAACACCAGUGGCGAAGGCGGCUAUCUGGGCUGAAACUGACGCUGAGGCGCGAGAGCGUGGGGAGCAAACAGG